rnacentral:rRNA from 1 species
ACCGGCGCACGGGUGAGUAACACGUAUCCAACCUGCCCUUUACUCGGGGAUAGCCUUUCGAAAGAAAGAUUAAUACCCGAUGGUAGAGGAUGGGGAUGCGUUCCAUUAGGCAGUUGGCGGGGUAACGGCCCACCAAACCUUCGAUGGAUAGGGGUUCUGAGAGGAAGGUCCCCCACAUUGGAACUGAGACACGGUCCAAACUCCUACGGGAGGCAGCAGUGAGGAAUAUUGGUCAAUGGGCGAGAGCCUGAACCAGCCAAGUAGCGUGAAGGAUGACCGCCUAUGGGUUGUAAACUUCUUUUAUAUGGGAAUAUGUACCAUAUGAAUAAGGAUCGGCUAACUCCGUGCCAGCAGCCGCGGUAAUACGGAGGAUCCGAGCGUUAUCCGGAUUUAUUGGGUUUAAAGGGAGCGUAGGUGGACAUGUAAGUCAGUUGUGAAAGUUUGCGGCUCAACCGUAAAAUUGCAGUUGAUACUGCGUGUCUUGAGUACAGUAGAGGUGGGCGGAAUUCGUGGUGUAGCGGUGAAAUGCUUAGA